AUUGAACGCUGGCGGCAGGCUUAACACAUGCAAGUCGAGCGGGGGAGGUUGCUUCGGUAACUGACCUAGCGGCGGACGGGUGAGUAGUGCUUAGGAAUCUGCCUAUUAGUGGGGGACAACAUUCCGAAAGGGAUGCUAAUACCGCAUACGCCCUACGGGGGAAAGCAGGGGAUCUUCGGACCUUGCGCUAAUAGAUGAGCCUAAGUCGGAUUAGCUAGUUGGUGGGGUAAAGGCCUACCAAGGCGACGAUCUGUAGCGGGUCUGAGAGGAUGAUCCGCCACACGGGGACUGAGACACGGCCCAGACUCCUACGGGAGGCAGCAGUGGGGAAUAUUGGACAAUGGGCGGAAGCCUGAUCCAGCCAUGCCGCGUGUGUGAAGAAGGCCUUUUGGUUGUAAAGCACUUUAAGCGAGGAGGAGGCUACUAGUACUAAUACUACUGGAUAGUGGACGUUACUCGCAGAAUAAGCACCGGCUAACUCUGUGCCAGCCGCCGCGGUAACAC
rnacentral:rRNA from 1 species